rnacentral:sRNA from 1 species
UGGUGCUGAAGGGACAGCUCCGGCCGAGCCCCGCAGCCCCCGCAGCCCCGGGCGGCUCAUGGUCCCCGAAGCCGAAGCUGAAGCCCAGGCCCGGGCGGGGAUGCUGGGGAUGCCCCGCGGGUGAGGCCCCCGCUGCAGCCGUGUUCAUGGCGGUGGCCAGGAAGAUCCGAACUUUGCUGACGGUGAACAUCCUGGUGUUCGUGGGCAUCGUCCUGUUCUCCGUGUACUGCCGCCUGCAGGGCCGCUCCCAGGAGCUCGUGCGCAUCGUGAGCGGCGACCGCCGGGUGCGCAGCCGACACGCCAAGGUGGGCGCGCUGGGGGACCGUGAGGCCAUCCUGCAGCGCCUGGACCACCUGGAGGAGGUGGUCUACAACCAGCUCAACGGCCUCGCCAAGCCCAUCGGCCUGGUGGAGGGGCCAGGAGGCCUGGGCCAGGGUGGCUUGGCAGCCACCCUGCGUGAUGACGGCCAGGAGGCGGAAGGCAAAUAUGAGGAGUACGGCUACAACGCUCAGCUCAGUGACCGCAUCUCCCUGGAUCGGAGCAUCCCCGACUACCGGCCCAGAAAUGAGCUAUGCCCAGGACCUGCCCCAGGUCUCCGUGGUCUUCAUCUUCGUCAAUGAGGCGCUGUCGGUCAUCCUGCGCUCCGUGCACAGCGUGGUCAACCACACGCCCUCCCAGCUCCUCAAGGAGGUCAUCCUGGUGGACGACAACAGUGACAACGUGGAGCUCAAGUUCAAUCUGGACCAGUACGUCAACAAGCGGUACCCAGGCCUCGUGAAGAUUGUCCGCAACAGCCGGCGGGAAGGACUGAUCCGCGCGCGGCUGCAGGGCUGGAAGGCGGCCACCGCCCCAGUCGUCGGCUUCUUUGAUGCCCACGUCGAGUUCAACACGGGCUGGGCCGAGCCCGCACUGUCGCGGAUCCGAGAGGACCGGCGUCGCAUCGUGCUGCCAGCCAUCGACAACAUCAAGUACAGCACGUUUGAGGUGCAGCAGUAUGCGAACGCCGCCCACGGCUACAACUGGGGCCUCUGGUGCAUGUACAUCAUCCCCCCGCAGGACUGGCUGGACCGCGGCGACGAGUCAGCACCCAUCAGGACCCCAGCCAUGAUCGGCUGCUCCUUCGUAGUGGACCGCGAGUACUUCGGAGACAUUGGGCUGCUGGACCCCGGCAUGGAGGUGUACGGCGGCGAGAACGUAGAACUGGGCAUGAGGGUGAGUGUGGCCACGGUGUCCAGGGACAGGGUGAGGGUGAGUGAGGCCUUGGCGUCCGGGGACGGGGUGAGGACGAGUGAGGCUGCGGCGUCUGGGGACAGGGUGAGGGCGAGUGCAGCCAUGGCGUCUGGGGACGGGGUGAGGACGAGUGCGGCCGUGGCGUCUGGGGACGGGGUGAGGUCCAGGGCUCCUGCUCAGCGCACUGAGGCCUCUCCAGAGCCUAGGCUGAGGCAGCUGGAAGCCAAGCUGGGCGGCCAAGGCUCCUGCUCAGCGCACUGAGGCCUCUCCAGAGCCUAGGCUGAGGCAGCUGGAAGCCAAGCUGGGCGGCCAAGGCUCCCGGGGUCCCUGAGCUGGAGUUGGGGACA